rnacentral:rRNA from 1 species
UACGGGGGGAGCAAGCGUUGUUCGGAUUUACUGGGCGUAAAGGGCGCGUAGGCGGCCAGCACAAGUCAGUUGUGAAAUCUCCGGGCUUAACUCGGAAAGGUCAACUGAUACUGUGCGGCUAGAGUGCAGAAGGGGGCAACUGGAAUUCUCGGUGUAGCGGUGAAUGCGUAGAUAAUCAAGAGGAACACCUGCGGCGAAGGCGGGUUGCUGGGCUGACACUGACGCUGGAGGCGCGAAAGCUAGGGGAGCGAACGGG